rnacentral:tRNA from 1 species
GGGGUUGUGGCUCAGUGGUAGAGUUCUCAUCUAGCAUGCGUGAGGCACUGAGCUCAAUCCUUAGCACCACA